rnacentral:tRNA from 1 species
GACCCGUUAGCUCAGUUGGUAGAGCACUUGACUUUUAAUCAAGGUGUCCGGAGUUCGAAUCUCCGACGGGUCACCA